GUAGGUGGCAAGCGUUGUCCGGAAUUAUUGGGGCGUAAAGCGCGCGCAGGCGGUUCUUUAAGCCUGAUGUGAAAGCCCACGGGCUCAACCGUGGAGGUCAUUGGAAACUGGAGAACUUGAGUACAGAAGAGGAAAGCGGAAUUCCACGUGUAGCGGUGAAAUGCGUAGAGAUGUGGAGGAACACCAGUGGCGAAGGCGGCUUUCUGGUCUGUAACUGACGCUGAGGCGCGAAAGCGUGGGGAGCAAACAGGAUUAGAUACCCUGGUAGUCCACGCCGUAAACGAUGAGUGCUAAGUGUUAGGGGGUUUCCGCCCCUUAGUGCUGCAGCUAACGCAUUAAGCACUCCGCCUGGGGAGUACGGCCGCAAAGGCUG
rnacentral:rRNA from 1 species